rnacentral:rRNA from 1 species
AUGUCUGGGAUAUUAGGAACAAGAGAAGGUGGUGAGGUUGAGAUCCAACGAGUAAGAGAAGGGCCUACCACAAAAGAAAUUUUCAUGGUGAGGAAAAUGCUAGGCCUAGAUCUUAACCACAAAGAGGUUAAAACCCCAGAUCUAUUGCAAGUGUUGUGUGAACAACAUCCAGAUAAGUUCACCAAACAAGGGUCAAUCAGGUUGAAACUUGCAUUUUCUAUGCUAGUACUUUCAGUGUUCUACAGUCCAAGAGACAAAAGAGGAUAUGUGCCAAAGGACGCAUAUCUGCUGGCAUAUGCUCCAGAAAACCUUGACAAAUUAAACUUGACAAAAUAUGGAGUAGCUGAGCUUCUUGAUGGGGCAGCUCGAGUUCAACAGUAUGCCAGUCCUCACGCGAGGCCUGGAAUCACUAUCUUUGGUUGUCAUUACUAUCUUCAGGUCUUGUAUUUUAAUUCAGUUGAUGCAGGGUGUCAAAACGUUGAUCCCACAGUCUGGCCUAGGAUAUGUGAAUACAAUGCACCAAAGAUUUUUGCACUGGUCGAGAAGGACACCAUGAACUGUACAUCAGAAAGAGUUUUUGGCAUGCUGAGGCCUGAUGUGAAAGAGCAUGUAGCGAAUCUCAAGAGACAGAAGCGAACGUCGAGCGAAUCAUAG